rnacentral:rRNA from 1 species
UACAGAGGUCUCAAGCGUUGUCCGGAUUUAUUGGGCGUAAAGAGCGUGUAGGCGGCUAUACAGGUCCGUUGUGAAAACUGGAGGCUUAACCUCCAGACGUCGAUGGAAACCGUAUGGCUAGAGUCCGGAAGAGGAGAGUGGAAUUCCUGGUGUAGCGGUGAAAUGCGCAGAUAUCAGGAAGAACACCCGUGGCGAAGGCGGCUCUCUGGGACGGUACUGACGCUGAGACGCGAAAGCGUGGGGAGCGAACAGG